rnacentral:rRNA from 1 species
CGCUAUCACUCCUACGGGGAGGCAGCAGUAGGGAAUCUUCCACAAUGGGCGCAAGCCUGAUGGAGCAACACCGCGUGAGUGAAGAAGGGUUUCGGCUCGUAAAGCUCUGUUGUUAAAGAAGAACACGUAUGAGAGUAACUGUUCAUACGUUGACGGUAUUUAACCAGAAAGUCACGGCUAACUACGUGCCAGCAGCCGCGGUAAUACGUAGGUGGCAAGCGUUAUCCGGAUUUAUUGGGCGUAAAGAGAGUGCAGGCGGUUUUCUAAGUCUGAUGUGAAAGCCUUCGGCUUAACAGGAGAAGUGCAUCGGAAACUGGAUAACUUGAGUGCAGAAGAGGGUAGUGGAACUCCAUGUGUAGCGGUGGAAUGCGUAGAUAUAUGGAAGAACACCAGUGGCGAAGGCGGCUACCUGGUCUGCAACUGACGCUGAGACUCGAAAGCAUGGGUAGCGAACAGGAUUAGAUACCCUGGUAG